rnacentral:rRNA from 1 species
UACAGAGGGUGCGAGCGUUGUCCGGAAUCACUGGGCGUAAAGGGCGCGUAGGCGGCCUGGUAAGUCGGGGGGUGAAACGCUGAGGCUCAACCUCAGCACUGCCUUCGAGACUGUCAGGCUUGAGCACGGGUAGAGGCUGGUGGAAUUCCCGGUGUAGCGGUGGAAUGCGUAGAGAUCGGGGAAGAACAUCGGUGGCGAAGGCGGCCAGCUGGGGCCGUUGCUGACGCUGAGGCGCGACAGCGUGGGGAGCAAACAGG